UUGAUCUCCCAACUGAAGUCGGUGUUUACUCCCACAAGAUGAUACACUACUAGUCCACCCUUAUCAAUUGUAGUACACACCAGCAUUCCAUUGGCAGAGGUGU
rnacentral:pre_miRNA from 1 species